GACGAACGCUGGCGGCGUGCUUAACACAUGCAAGUCGAACGGAAAGGCCUCUUUCGGGUGGUGCUCGAGUGGCGAACGGGUGAGUAACACGUGAGUAACCUGCCCCUCACUUUGGGAUAACUUCAGGAAACUGGGGCUAAUACCUGAUAGUAUCUCAUGCGGCAUUGUGGGGGUUGGGAAGUUUCGGAGGUUUGGGAUGGACUCGCGGCUUAUCUGCUUGUGGGGGGGGGAGUGGGUUACAACGGCGUUGACGGGUGUCGGGCCUGUGAGGGUGACCGGCCACAUUGGGACUGUGAGACGGCGCAGACUCCUACGGGGGGCAGCGGUGGGGAAUAUUGCACAAUGGGUGGAAGCCGGAUGCAGCAGCGACGUGUGCUGGAUGACGGCCUUUGGGUUGAAAUACGCUUUCGCCCAUGAGGAAGCAUUGUGUGACGGUAGUGGGUAAAGAAGCACCGGCUAACUACGUG
rnacentral:rRNA from 1 species